rnacentral:rRNA from 1 species
AUUGAACGCUGGCGGCAGGCUUAACACAUGCAAGUCGAACGAGUGGCGGACGGGUGAGUAAUGCUUGGGAAUCUAGCUUAUGGAGGGGGAUAACUACGGGAAACUGUAGCUAAUACCGCGUACCUGAGGAUGAGCCCAAGGGGGAUUAGGUAGUUGGUGAGGUAAAGGCUCACCAAGCCGACGAUCUCUAGCGGUUCUGAGAGGAUGAGCAGCCACACUGGUACGGAGAAACGGCCCAGACUACUACGGGAGGGAGCAGUGGGGAAUAUUGCGCAAUGGGGGCAACCUGCCUCAGCCAUGCCGCGUGAAUGAAGAAGGCCUUCGGGUUGUAAAGUUCUUUUGGUAGCGAGGCGUUAACUACAGAAGAAGAACCGGCUAACUCCGUGCCAGCAGCCGCGGUAAUAC